rnacentral:rRNA from 1 species
GUGGAAGUGUAGUAAUACAUUAAGCUAACCAGUACUAAUUGCCCGUGAGGCUUGACUCUAUAACCUU